rnacentral:tRNA from 1 species
GCUGAUUUAGCUCAUGUUGGCAGAGCGCCUGUUUCGUACUCAGGAGGUGGACAGUUCGAGACUGUCAAUCAGCACCA